UAUUUUUUUGUUUUCUUUUGUUUCUCUCCUGCCUGUUUCAAUUUAUCAAUCAAAGAAACAGAAGAAGGAAAAGCAUCCUUGGUAGUAGCAGUAUCGACAACAACAUCAAUUUGAGAGAUAAAUUCUUCUGUUGCCCACUCUUCGAUGUUGUCCAUUCCUCCAAGAACAGGAAUGAUCUCAGAAGAAAGAAGAGA
rnacentral:ribozyme from 13 species